CCAGCCCCUCCCUAUUCAGAACUUUGGAGGUUAAGAGGAAAGGUUCAAGCACUGAACAAUGAUGUUUUUGUGUGGUGCUUUAGGCCAGGUCCUGUAUCAUCUUUGCUUCUCUUCCUGAAAGGUAGCCCUCUUCAUCUGCAAGUGAUAAAUGACCCACAAAGUGCCUUACAGAAACUGAUGGGGAGCACCAAGGCAGGGACCCAUGUUUGGUCCAAUCAGAAUCUCAAUGACCAGGUCCUUGCAGCAUCUGAGAUGUUGAGUCCCAAUGGAGUCUGCAUUAAAGCUCUUCUUUGCCCUCUCUGGAAUUGAGUCUGCAUUAAAGCCAUCCCCUGAAAUGGAGUCUACUUUUUCUCAUCCUACCUCUUCUCUUACACAUGGCAUACUAAUGUGGCAUAUCUUAGUGUGCAUUUUUGGGUAAGUGGCCAUCUUACCCAGAAAUCCAACCCAUCUGUGACAUGCUUGGAUAAACAACACAAACCAAGAUGGUUUUCAGUUGAAUUCCCAGAUCAUAAUGACAGUUUUUGAAUUAAGGGAG
rnacentral:lncRNA from 1 species